rnacentral:rRNA from 1 species
AUUGAACGCUGGCGGCAGGCCUAACACAUGCAAGUCGAACGAGUGGCGGACGGGUGAGUAAUGUCUGGGAAACUGCCCGAUAGAGGGGGAUAACUACUGGAAACGGUAGCUAAUACCGCAUACCAUCGGAUGUGCCCAUAUGGGAUUAGCUAGUAGGUGGGGUAAAGGCUCACCUAGGCGACGAUCCCUAGCUGGUCUGAGAGGAUGACCAGCCACACUGGGACUGAGACACGGUCCAGACUCCUACGGGAGGCAGCAGUGGGGAAUAUUGCACAAUGGGCGCAAGCCUGAUGCAGCCAUGCCGCGUGUAUGAAGAAGGCCUUAGGGUUGUAAAGUACUUUCAGCGGGGAGGCGUUACUCGCAGAAGAAGCACCGGCUAACUCCGUGCCAGCAGCCGCGGUAAUAC